GACCAAUAUGCUAAAUAAAAUAAGAGCUUUGUGCAAAUGCAGAGGGGGAACAGGAGCUGGGAUACCCCCCUUCUGGACCCCCAAGGUCCCCAAACCUCAAAAUGAAAGCGCAGGAAGGGGCUUGAGGAAAGACGUCGUCGUCGUCUAGAGUGCUCAGUCGAGGCCAGAGGGGAUUAAAGGCGUCAAAUAGGGAGUCUCCACACCUGAGCGGGCUCCAGCUAAGUCAAUCAGCCCCGGGGAUUUGAGGACGUGCUCCGAGGCCUCAGCCUCAGUCUCUCCGACUCUCCCACCCGCUGCCGGGCUCUCCUCUCCCUAAAGGUGGACCUGAAACUCCGACACCUCGACUUCUGGGCCAGCCUCCAUGGCCAGGUCCCGGGACUGUGGGACUGGGACAUGGGGAACGAGUGCUUCCUGGCCUUCACCACAGCGCACCUGCCCUUAGCCGAGCAGAACCUUGCCAGAUAUAGACUCCGAAUAAUUCCGCAACUAAAACUACCUCUGGAAAAAAAACCCAACCCUGAUAAAGAUGGUCCAGAUUUUGAGCCCAACCUGUGGAUGUGGGUAAACCCCAACAUCGUGUUACCCCCUGGAAAGCUGGAGGUCCCAGAACCUAGUAAGGGAGAGGAUCUGACGAACACACUCCCCUCCCCUCAGUCACCUCGAAAAGAAGAAGACUUUGCCAACUUCUCAGAGGCCACAGUGGUGGAGUCGCUGCCGCCUUCCUCCAGCGAGCAGUCUCCCGCUUGGAAACGGUUUGCCUCUUCCUCCAGCAACUGGGAGCUCACAGAAGAGGAGGAGGCUGAGGACCAGGAUGACAGCUCCUCUGUGGCUCUCCCGUCCCCUCACAAAAGGGCCCCCCUCCAGAGUCGGAGGCUUCGGCAAGCCAACAGCCAGGAGGGGAGGCUCUGGUCCCGGCCCCCUCUCAAUUACUUCCAUCUAAUUGCACUGGCAUUAAGAAACAGUUCCCCCUGUGGCCUCAACGUGCAACAGAUCUACAGUUUCACUCGACAACAUUUCCCCUUUUUUCGGACGGCUCCGGAAGGCUGGAAGAAUACUGUCCGUCACAAUCUCUGUUUCCGAGACAGCUUUGAGAAAGUGCCGGUCAGCAUGCAGGGUGGGGCCAGCACACGGCCUCGAUCCUGCCUCUGGAAGUUGACUGAGGAGGGACACCGCCGCUUUGCAGAGGAGGCCCGUGCCUUGGCCUCUACUCGGCUGGAAAGUAUCCAGCGGUGCAUGAGCCAGCCAGGUGUGAGGCCCUGUCAUGUGUGGGGCUGAGGGGACCUGAAGAUCCUGAGUGUGCAAGGAAGGAGCCUGGGUCACACCGUGGGGGACACCUUCUGUAGGACGGGGAGAGGAUAGCAGUCAUCCGAGACCCCUGGGGUGGUGCCUGCUGACGUGGGACCCCCCCCACACACGCAUGGGACCUGAGGAACAGGGAGUUGAUGGAGAAACAACUGAGGUGCCAUCGGCCCUACUCACAGCCCAGCAGCCUAGGGAAAUGGUGACCGUACAACGUGAGAAGCAUGAUGUGAUGCCCUUCCUCUUUGACCUUUAAGUCCAAGAAGCCAGAGUCAGCCCGUGCCUUAUUAAAGUUACCUGCAGCAGCCUUGUGUGUGUGUGGUCUCUGAGGAUGGGAGUGGGGUGGAGGUGGUCAGCUCUGAGGUUGGAAAUGGGAUGGCCUCAGAGCUGACAUGCUCCAGAGGCAAUGGCGCAGUUGCCUACUGUGCAGCAAAGG